CCUACGGGAGGCAGCAGUGAGGAAUAUUGGUCAAUGGGCGGGAGCCUGAACCAGCCAAGCCGCGUGAGGGAAGAAGGUACAGCGUAUCGUAAACCUCUUUUGUCAGGGAACAAAGGCGGGGACUAGUCCCCGGAUGAGGGUACCUGAAGAAAAAGCAUCGGCUAACUCCGUGCCAGCAGCCGCGGUAAUACGGAGGAUGCGAGCGUUAUCCGGAUUUAUUGGGGUAAAAGGGUGCGCAGGCGGCCUGUUCAGUCAGCGGGAAAAGCCCGGGGCUCAACCCCGGCGAGCCGUUGAAACUGGCGGGCUGGAGUUGGAGAGAAGUACGCGGAAUGCGCGGUGUAGCGGUGAAAUGCUUAGAUAUCGCGCAGAACCCCGAUUGCGAAGGCAGCGUACCGGCUCCACACUGACGCUGAGGCACGAAAGCGUGGGUAUCGAACAGGAUUAGAUACCCCGGUAGUC
rnacentral:rRNA from 1 species